rnacentral:rRNA from 1 species
ACGGGGGGGGCAAGCGUUGUUCGGAAUUACUGGGCGUAAAGGGCGCGUAGGCGGCUUUAUAAGUCGGGGGUGAAAGCCUGUGGCUCAACCACAGAAUUGCCUUCGAUACUGUAGAGCUUGAGACCGGAAGAGGUAAGUGGAACUGCGAGUGUAGAGGUGAAAUUCGUAGAUAUUCGCAAGAACACCAGUGGCGAAGGCGGCUUACUGGUCCGGUUCUGACGCUGAGGCGCGAAAGCGUGGGGAGCAAACAGGA